UACGAGGGGGGCAAGCGUUGUUCGGAAUUAUUGGGCGUAAAGGGUGCGUAGGCGGUCUGACAAGUCUGAUGUGAAAUCUAUGGGCUCAACCCAUAGUCUGCAUCGGAAACUGUCGGGCUUUGAGUAUGGGGAGAGGUGAGUGGAAUUUCCGGUGUAGCGGUGAAAAUGCGUAGAUAUCGGAAGGAACACCCUGUGGCGAAAAGCGGCUCAC
rnacentral:rRNA from 1 species